UACGAAGGGUGCAAGCGUUACUCGGAAUUACUGGGCGUAAAGGGUGCGUAGGUGGUUUGUUAAGUCUGCUGUGAAAUCCCCGGGCUCAACCUGGGAAUGGCAGUGGAUACUGGCAAGCUAGAGUGCGGUAGAGGGUAGUGGAAUUCCCGGUGUAGCAGUGAAAUGCGUAGAGAUCCGGAGGAACACCAACGGCGUAGGCAGCGCCCUAGACGAGACCUGACGCUCAGGCACGAAAGCGCGGGGAGCGAACAGG
rnacentral:rRNA from 1 species